rnacentral:rRNA from 1 species
ACUCAAAGGAAUUGACGGGGACCCGCACAAGCGGUGGAGCAUGUGGUUUAAUUCGAAGCAACGCGAAGAACCUUACCAAGGCUUGACAUCCCCCUGACCGUCGUAGAGAUACGGCUUUCUUUCGGGACAGGGGAGACAGGUGGUGCAUGGUUGUCGUCAGCUCGUGUCGUGAGAUGUUGGGUUAAGUCCCGCAACGAGCGCAACCCUUGCCUUCAGUAGCCAUCAUUUAGUUGGGGACUCUGGAGGGACUGCCGCGGUUAACGCGGAGGAAGGCGGGGACGAUGUCAAAUCAUCAUGCCCCUUAUGUCUUGGGCUACACACGUGCUACAAUGGCUCGUACAAAGUGACGCAAUGCCGCGAGGCGGAGCAAAUCACGAAAACGAGUCUCAGUUCGGAUUGCAGGCUGCAACCCGCCUGCAUGAAGUUGGAAUCGCUAGUAAUCGCAAAUCAGCAUGUUGCGGUGAAUACGUUCCCGGGUCUUGUACACACCGCCCGU